ensembl:misc_RNA Metazoa_SRP Metazoan signal recognition particle RNA
GCCGGGUGUGGUGGCACACGCCUGUAAUCCCAGCUACAUAGGAGGCUGAGGCAGGAGAAUCACUUGAACCCAGGAGGUGGAGGUUGCAGUGAGCUGAGAUUGCACCAUUGCACUCUAGCCUGGGCGACAAAGUGAAACUCUGCCUCAA